rnacentral:rRNA from 1 species
GAUGAACGCUGGCGGCGUGCCUAAUACAUGCAAGUCGAGCGAACAGACGAGGAGCUUGCUCCUCUGACGUUAGCGGCGGACGGGUGAGUAACACGUGGAUAACCUACCUAUAAGACUGGGAUAACUUCGGGAAACCGGAGCUAAUACCGGAUAAUAUAUUGAACCGCAUGGUUCAAUAGUGAAAGACGGUUUUGCUGUCACUUAUAGAUGGAUCCGCGCCGCAUUAGCUAGUUGGUAAGGUAACGGCUUACCAAGGCGACGAUGCGUAGCCGACCUGAGAGGGAGAUCGGCCACACUGGAACUGAGACACGGUCCAGACUCCUACGGGAGGCAGCAGUAGGGAAUCUUCCGCAAUGGGCGAAAGCCUGACGGAGCAACGCCGCGUGAGUGAUGAAGGUCUGCGGAUCGUAAAACUCUGUUAUUAGGGAAGAACAAAUGUGUAAGUAACUAUGCACGUCUUGACGGUACCUAAUCAGAAAGCCACGGCUAACUACGUG